UGGCCUAAAAAGCUGUGUCACCAUGGCCUGGGCCACGGUCCUCUUCAUGCUCCUCUGUCACUGCACAGGUUCCCUGUCCCAGACUGUGCUGACCCAACCUCCCUCCCUCUCUGCUUCCCUGGGAUCAUCAGCCAGACUCACCUGCACCCUGAGCAGGGACAUCAGUGUUGGUGGUAAAAACAUGUACUGGUACCAGCAGAAGCCCGGAAGCCCUCCCCGUUAUUUCCUGUACUACUACUCAGACUCAGAUAAGCAGCUGGGACCUGGGGUCCCCAGUCGUGUCUCCGGAUCCAAAGAUACCUCCACCAAUAUGGCAAUUAUGCUCAUCUCUGGGCUUCAGCCUGAGGAUGAGGCUGACUAUUACUGUGCUAUAGCUCAUGGCAGUGGGAGCAGUUUUCGUUACCCACAGUGUCUCAGACAACAAGGAAGUGAGACAAAAAACCCCUGGACACACAGAACUUGUCUCUGA